CUACCCCCCGUGCUGCCCAGCGCUGAAUAAACAUGCCUACUUUACAGUCUUACAGAUUGUGGAGUCCGCUUUCCGCACGUCAGUUUGUCGAGCCAGCCAGGAGUCUCUGCUUGGCUGCGGGAUCGGCUGCGGAGCGGACGCCCCUAGGCGCGCCCCGAGAACUCUUCUCGGAGGAGCCUCCGCUGCCGGCCGCUCACCGCGGGAGCAGACAACAACCUCCUGAAGCCGCGGAAGAAAACGUUAAACAGGGUCCUUCCGAAUCCCCAUCUGAAUUCCUGGAUCGCUUGAGGGAUGUAAUGUGCCGCAGCGCACCGCUGGAUCCUGGGUCAGAGACUUGAAAGAUGCUUUCUUUUGCCUCCCUCUCCAUGAAGCCAGC